GCCUCUUUGGCUAAGUGGUAAAGCGUCGCACUCGUAAUGCGAAGAUCAUCGGUUCGAUUCCGAUAGGAGGCA